GAGUUUACGAUCCCCCAUGCUUUUUUCAAAGUUGCUGAGGGGCGGGAAUCUUCGUUGCGGGAAGAAGAAAAGGCAAAUCCGGCCUGGAAGCGGGGGGCCCUGAGCUGAGAGCCAGAGAAGGGCCAUUUCCCUUCCCCUGGACCUCGGAAUCGCCCAGCUAUCUAUCCCUGGCUCCUGGAGAAACUUGAGGGAGGGCCCUUGACCCCCGAAUCGGUUUUUCCUGCCUUCCCCAUUGGACCAAUGAUGCCCUUCUUUCUCCCCUUAUCGAGUCUUGGGCAAUCAGGGCCCUGGGGUGAGACAGCCAAGCUGCCUGGCCCAUCUUCCAAGUAAGCACCCCGCGCUCCUAGCCUGGGGGCUACAGGAAAUGCUUGUCUGCCAUAUGGCAAGAGGCAAAGAAAAGCGUUAAGUUCAAGAUGUACAGCCUGCCCUCCCAGGCCUUUCCUUCUGCAAGCAUCUACGGCUUAGCGCUAAAACAGGCAAUUCCAAAGGUGAAAACGCAGCCAACUGGCUCACGGCAAAGAGUGGUCGGAAGAAGCGCUGCCCCUACACGAAGCACCAGACACUGGAGCUGGAGAAGGAGUUUCUGUUCAAUAUGUACCUUACUCGAGAGCGGCGCCUAGAGAUUAGCCGCAGCGUCCACCUCACGGACAGACAAGUGAAAAUCUGGUUUCAGAACCGCAGGAUGAAACUGAAGAAAAUGAAUCGAGAAAACCGGAUCCGGGAGCUCACAGCCAACUUUAAUUUUUCCUGAUGAAUCUCCAGGCGACGCGGUUUUUUCACUUCCCGAGCGCUGGUCCCCUCCCUCUGUCUUCAGGCUCUGCCCAGGAACUCGCACCUGUGCUGGAGCCCUGUUCCUCCCUCCCACACUCGCCAUCUCCUGGGCCGUUACAUCUGUGCAGGGCUGGUUUGUUCUGACUUUUUGUUUCUUUGUGUUUGCUUGGUGCUGGUUUAUUUGUUGUUUUCUGGGGGAAAAAGCCAUAUCAUGCUAAAAUUCUAUAGAGAUAGAUAUUGUCCUAAGUGUCAAGUCCUGACUGGGCUGGGUUUGCUGUCUUGGGGUCCCACUGCUCGAAAUGGCCCCUGUCUUCGGCCGAGCUGGUUUCCUGCCCAGCCUGGGGCAAACCUAGCCGGAAGGCCGAGGUCCCAUUGUUGGCGCUGAGGUGUCUGGCCUGAGGUCAAUGGUGCAAAGG
rnacentral:lncRNA from 10 species